rnacentral:rRNA from 1 species
GUAGGUGGCAAGCGUUGUCCGGAAUUAUUGGGCGUAAAGCGCGCGCAGGGCGGUCCUUUAAGUCUGAUGUGAAAGCCCACGGCUCAACCGUGGAGGGUCAUUGGAAACUGGGGGACUUGAGUACAGAAGAGGAAAGCGGAAUUCCACGUGUAGCGGUGAAAUGCGUAGAGAUGUGGAGGAACACCAGUGGCGAAGGCGGCUUUCUGGUCUGUAACUGACGCUGAGGCGGGAAAGCGUGGGGAGCAAACAGGAUUAGAUACCCUGGUAGUCCACGCCGUAAACGAUGAGUGCUAAGUGUUAGGGGGUUUCCGCCCCUUAGUGCUGCAGCUAACGCAUUAAGCACUCCGCCUGGGGAGUACGGCCGCAAGGCUG